rnacentral:rRNA from 1 species
GGACUGAGACACGGCCCAGACUCCUACGGGAGGCAGCAGUGGGGAAUAUUGCACAAUGGGGGAAACCCUGAUGCAGCGACGCCGCGUGGAGGAAGAAGGUCUUCGGAUUGUAAACUCCUGUUGUUGAGGAAGAUAAUGACGGUACUCAACAAGGAAGUGACGGCUAACUACGUGCCAGCAGCCGCGGUAAAACGUAGGUCACAAGCGUUGUCCGGAAUUACUGGGUGUAAAGGGAGCGCAGGCGGGAAGACAAGUUGGAAGUGAAAUCUAUGGGCUCAACCCAUAAACUGCUUUCAAAACUGUUUUUCUUGAGUAGUGCAGAGGUAGGCGGAAUUCCCGGUGUAGCGGUGGAAUGCGUAGAUAUCGGGAGGAACACCAGUGGCGAAGGCGGCCUACUGGGCACCAACUGACGCUGAGGCUCGAAAGUGUGGGUAGCAAACAGGAUUAGAUACCCUGGUAGUCCACACCGUAAACGAUGAUAAGGAGGUGUUGGAGGAUUGACCCCUUCAGUGCCGC